CUUCUACUAGAAUUUUGCAUUAUUAUUUCUUAUUACAGGUAUGUCAAUAGUGUGGGCAAUAUAUUUAAAUUAACUACUCUUUAUAAAUCACUGUAACGAAAUUAAAUUCGUAAAAAUUUAGACACUUUUUUAUAUAAAUUUUCCACGUUAUCAGUUAUGCCAACUGUUUUGAUUACCCGUUAUAGCGAUUGGCAGCCAUUUUGUAUUACUAUUGCAAAUGUUUGCUUGGACGUUGGUGAGUGUCGCUCCGUAAAAUUUCCCGAAAUUUUAUGAAUAAUCCCUUCCCUCAAUCUAAAAUAAUCAUCACUGGGCUCAUAAAUGUGCGGGAAAUCAAUUUGGACAAUUUAAAGGAAUAAUCGGUUCCCAAAAUCAAAAAUCAUCAUCAAUCGACUCAUAAACGUGCACGGACUCAAUUUUGACUUUCAAAAGGUUGUGUUGAGUGAAUGAAAAAAUAUCUGCGGAAUUCAAAUUUCAAUAGGAUUCAACACAUUGUGCAGCAUCACUUGUGGAGGUUUUUGCAGCUUUAACAAUAAGAUUCUAUCCUCGAUGGCUUGUGGUGUCACGUACUUCAAAGGGCAAAUGUAAAAAAGGAUAUCUUAUCUGGAAGGACACAUUCUUCAUAUUCAGACUUUUUAGAACUCGGUCUAUUUUUCAUAUUUUCUGAAUGGAAAUUUAACUUGAAAGUAGGGAUCUCCGAGGACUAUUUAGUUUGAAAGAAUCUCCUGGAUGCUGAAAAUUCGUUAUUAAGGCAGUGGAAAUAAAUUAAUCGUCAAGAAAAGAUGCUGUUCGAACGAGAUGCGAGGAAAGUUCUGGAAUAUAAUGAGGAUAAAAUAGUUCAAAAAGAACGAGAAUGUUGAUAGGAUAUCGUGACUUCCACUUCAAUCGGGAUAAAUUAUCCGAGAAUAGUUGUAUGGAGAGCUUGAUGAUUAAUUUUACGUGAUACCACGCGCAUAAGGAAAAUGUGAUCGAGAAAUAUAAGAAAUGCGCCUGGAGAGGAAGGGAAGGUCGUUUCAAAUGGCGACUAUGGUAAUUAUUUCCUCGCGGCACUUCUAUCAAAUAUAUCGAUAGGAUCAACGGCAAACGAUAAUAAUAAAGGGAUGACGACGUCUGUUUCUUCGAGGGAAGGUGUUUGUUGCGGAGCAGCUCCUGGAGGAGAUCGGGCAUAGCUGAGCGCAGUUCAAUCCAAUUGUUGCAGAGGAGGGAAGGUUCGUCUAUUUGAAGAGAAAGUAUGCUGUCAUCGUACCUUUAACACGUCGCGAAAAAUCG